AGCCCGCUCAGAAACUUAAAGGAAUUGACGGGGGCCCGCACAAGCGGUGGAGUAUGUGGUUAAUUCGAUGCAACGCGAAGAACCUUACCUGGUCUUGACAUCCCGGAGACCCUUAGGAAACUAGGGGUGCUUCCAUCUGGAAGAAUCUGGAGACAGGUGCUGCAUGGCUGUCGUCAGCUCGUGUCGUGAGAUGUUGGGUUAAGUCCCGCAACGAGCGCAACCCUUGCCUUUAGUUGCCAGCAGUUCGGCUGGGCACUCUAAAGGGACUGCCGGUGUUAAACCGGAGGAAGGUGGGGAUGACGUCAAGUCCUCAUGGCCUUUAUGACCAGGGCUACACACGUACUACAAUGGCCGAUACAAAGGGCAGCGACACUGUGAGGUGAAGCCAAUCCCGUAAAAUCGGUCUCAGUCCGGAUUGGAGUCUGCAACUCGACUCCAUGAAGUUGGAAUCGCUAGUAAUCGUGGAUCAGCAUGCCACGGUGAAUACGUUCCCGGGCCUU
rnacentral:rRNA from 1 species